GUGCUCUCUUCAGCACUCAUAGACUAAAAACUGGAACCUUACAGAGGAGACGAGUGUGACCCCUGUGAGAGGUGACAUGCACGUCUGUGAAGCUGUCACCAUUUUU
ensembl:snRNA U6 U6 spliceosomal RNA